rnacentral:rRNA from 1 species
CCUACGGGAGGCAGCAGUGGGGAAUAUUGGGCAAUGGAGGAAACUCUGACCCAGCGACGCCGCGUGCGGGAUGAAGGCCUUCGGGUUGUAAACCGCUUUCAGCAGGGAAGAAGCGAAAGUGACGGUACCUGCAGAAGAAGCACCGGCUAACUAUGUGCCAGCAGCCGCGGUAAUACAUAGGGUGCAAGCGUUGUCCGGAAUUAUUGGGCGUAAAGAGCUCGUAGGUGGUUCGUCACGUCGGAUGUGAAAAUCUGGGGCUUAACCCCAGACCUGCAUUCGAUACGGGCGAGCUUGAGUAUGGUAGGGGAGUCUGGAAUUCCUGGUGUAGCGGUGGAAUGCGCAGAUAUCAGGAGGAACACCAAUGGCGAAGGCAGGACUCUGGGCCAUUACUGACACUGAGGAGCGAAAGCGUGGGGAGCGAACAGGAUUAGAUACCCUGGUAGUCCACGCCGUAAACGGUGGGCACUAGUUGUGGGGACCUUCCACGGUCUCUGCGACGCAGCUAACGCAUUAAGUGCCCCGCCUGGGGAGGACGAUCGCAGAAUAAACUACAANAGAGUAGACGGCGUGAGACGUCGCCGACGGACGACGACGAGGGAGAGG